GGCAAUAACCGGGACCACGUUAUACCUCGUCAGUCAACGCUGACAGAAUAUUCGAACCAAUGUGCAUUAGUUUCUUUCCCUGAGCGUUUCAUAGUUUCACAGCAGACUGAAAUACUGCCUACCGCCAGUCAUGUCUGAGGACGUUUUAACAAAGAAAAGCAAAGGUGCACCAGCCAACGUGAAAGAUUUCAAGAAAAAGGCCAAGAAAAGAAAGUUCCCCUUAGGAUUCGACCACCAGGAACAAUCUUACAAACAGGGAAAGAUUGACCAGACAGACAAUAAGACCCAUAUCAAGACUUCAUCAUUGUUCAAAAACAACCCAGAAAUCCUUGAUGUUGACCGACCUACUGUCACCCAAGUUAAGGAGAAUGUCUUCACCAGUGACUCCUUCUCUGAGCUGAACCUGCAUCCACACCUAGUGGUAACUCUCAACAAAGUCCUGAACCUAACAUGUAUGACCUGUGUACAGAAACAGACAAUUCCUGUCUUGAUGUGUGGACGAGAUGCUGUGGUUCGUUCUCAGACGGGGUCUGGUAAAACUCUGGCCUAUGGGAUUCCAAUGGUCCAGGCACUACAGUCAGUGGAGCCAAAGAUCAAGAGAGGAGAUGGACCUCUGGCUGUCAUCAUUGUCCCCACCAGAGAACUGGCCCAGCAGACCUACCAGAUAUUUCUGAAACUUCUUAAGCCUUUCACCUGGAUUGUCCCCGGUGUUCUUAUGGGGGGAGAGAAGAGGAAGGCAGAGAAAGCCAGGCUUCGUAAGGGCAUUAACAUUCUGAUCUCCACGCCAGGCCGUCUGGUGGAUCAUAUCAAGAACACCCUCAGCAUAGCCUUUAGUGCUACUCGCUGGCUUAUCCUGGACGAGGCAGACAGGACUUUAGACUUGGGUUUUGAGAAGGACCUUACAGUAAUCUUAAACUCCCUCAACUCUACUGCCCCCUCCAGACAGAAUGUCAUGCUGUCUGCAACUCUCACAGAUGGCCUGUCUCGGUUGACGGGGGUGUGUAUGAAAAACCCUGUCAGUAUCCAUGUGUCUGAAAACUCAAAGACUAGCUCUGAAAUCACCUACCUUGAUGUUGCCGCCCAGAGCCAAACGAUGAGCUUUAGUGUGCCAGACAAUCUCCAGCAGUAUGUGGUAGUAGUGCCCAGCAAACUCAGACUUGUCUGCCUGGCGGCCUUCAUCUUGGCAAGAUGCAAGUUUGAAAAUGGCCACAAGCUCAUUGUGUUCGUGUCCAGCUGUGAGGGGGUAGAGUUCCUCUUCUCUCUCUUCACCUCCGUAUUGUGCCACCCAACCACCAAUCAAUUGCACCCUCUGAACUUCCUGCGUCUCCAUGGCAACAUGAAGCAGAGGGAGCGGACUGAGGUGUUCCAGGAGUUCUCAGUCUGCAGGGACGGCGUACUGCUCUGUACUGAUGUGGCAUCGCGAGGUUUGGACUUACCCAAAGUCACCUGGAUAGUACAAUACUCCCCUACCACAGCAGCAGAGUAUGUGCACCGUGUGGGUAGGACGGCUCGCAUUGGGGCACAAGGAAACAGCCUCCUCUUCAUAACCCCUGCUGAGACGGCCUACAUAUCCGAGCUGGCCAAUCACAACAUCAGCCUUUCAGAGAUGAAGCUGCAGGAUAUCUUAAGUUGUCUGAUGCUGGAUGACACUUAUAAAGGGCGAGGAAAGUACCACAAGUCCUCAGGGGCUCUGGAGCAAGAGAUCCGUGAGAGGGCUACUGUUCUCCAGACAGAGUUUGAGAACGUUGUCCAUGCCAACGAAGAAAAUGUCCAACUGGCAAAGAAAGCCCUGCAGUCUUUUGUGCGAGCAUACACUGCCUAUCCUUCCAGCGUGAAGCACAUCUUCCACAUACGCACCCUCCAUCUUGGCCACGCUGCGAAGAGCUUCGGCCUGCGAGAUGCACCCCAAGGCCUGACACAGGAGGGUUCAGCUGACCAUGCCAAAGGCUCUGGGAAGGCUAGGAACCAAGCGAAAAGACAUGACAAAAACCAUGGAGACGUCCAGGUCGUCCACGGAAGUCCACACCUCGACAGGAGCGUCUUUGGAUGAGAAGGGUUGAAGAAAAUCGGCUUGCAAGUUCACUGCAGUUAUCUAAAGAGGAAUCAUAAACUUAGUGCUAAAGAGCGAAUGUCGACUCUCCUGUGCUCAGAAUUCUCCAGUGGGAUUUAGGAAGUCUCAAAAACAAAGAAGCAGCUGCAGCAUACAUAAGGCGAGCAUGGUACAGAAGAAGAAACGGGAGGAGGAAGAAUAUAAAGAGAAGAUCAUAGGGGAGUCUGAUUGGCGCUAAAGUGGCUAACUUUCCCAACUCCAGCUACCAGCUGGCAGGCACACUUCUCCAACUUUAAAACCACCUUGUGGCUCCUUGACCUGUCUUCCUUUUCCAUGGCUCCUACACGCGUAACCCCUGAUUUCAGUUGUGUUUUGUACUGUAGAACCAAAGCAGGUUCUUGACCUUACAGAUGUCUUUCUGUAAUAUGAUUGUCAUCGGAAGGUGAGGUGGCCUCAGGUGCAUACAGAACCAAUGAGUUGCAAUUAAACUAUAGUCUACCAUAUUUACUUUGGUCCGUUUGUCGUUAUUCCGCUGUUUGUAUGUUCGUACUCCCAUUUUCCUGAUGGUUAUUGUUGUCCAGAUGUUACCUUGCUUUCAAAAAGCUUUUUUUUCCUUUUAUCCAAAGCGACACACAGAGGGGAUUUGCAGGGAAUCCCCUCUGUAUGUCAUGAUGAUUGUGACAGGGAAUCUGCAGACAUAAAAUAACACAAAACAUAAAAAUAAAAAAACUAUUCGCAAGCAAAAUAUUACAUUUAAUUACAAAAUGUUCCUUUUGGUAUACAACAAAAAAAGUAAGCCGGUUUGGGCCUGAAAGCAAAAUAUUACAUUUAUUUAAAAUAUUAGACUUUUUGUAUCACCCAAUAUAUGAUACAAAAAAAGUGGGCCGGUCUUGGGCCUGAAACUCCCGGGCUGAAAAGUGGUCCCACUCCGGCCCUGCAUUACACUGUCGGUUGAAGACCGAGGUGAAAUCAGUUUCAUAUUCGAGAUUCAACAGACAUUCAUAUUCGUACCUCCGUUCAGGUUCUGCGUCAUAUUUAGGGACCGGGGUAGACAGUCCGAAU